AUUUCUGCAAAGUCAACCUUUUUUCUUGUUCUAUAACCCUUGGUACUGGUUUUGAAGCUUGGCAUUCCUCCUUAUCCCCAGAAAACAGCUGAACUUGUAGGCACAAUACUUGCAUCUGCUGCUAAAACUGCUCUAGGAUGCUCCAAUGAAGAUUUACACUGUGAUGUUUCUGGUGUUCUUUCAUCUUGCUGGCCAGCCUGUACAGCACCCAAAGAAGAUGAACCCAGUGAAGCUGAGAGCUGCAAUGGUGCAGCAGUCUUAUCAACUGGUUCAGGUGCAUCACUUCUGUGCUCUUGACUACCUGAGAAUUGCAAUUCAUCAGGAUUCUUUCACAAUUCUGAAUUGUCUAUUAAAAUAGAAAGAGGUUCACUUGUGCAGUCUGUUGAGUUCAUUAACAGGCAUUGGCAUGUCUUGAACUGGAAUAAUCAUGUUAUUGGGUAAUCUUCCCCUUCAACAUGAAAUACAGUUUACUUUGUAGGUAAAUCUUGAGCAUUCAUUUGAAGAGAAGUGAGUGAACCACUAACAGGUAAAUCAGAGGAGCUUCCUUUCUUUAUUGACAGUAAUCAGGCUGGAUUGGCAUGUUUGGUGU